GCAGACUCACUCUGUACCUAACUGCAGCCUCCAGUUUUGGUGCUUUUUUAGUCUGCUAAAUAAAACUCCAAGAUCAACAUUUAAAGCUUUCUUUGUUUUGAAGAAAUGCUGCUUGUAGAUCCUGGGAUACUAUC
rnacentral:snoRNA from 1 species